rnacentral:rRNA from 1 species
GACGAACGCUGGCGGCGUGCUUAACACAUGCAAGUCGAGCGGUAAGGCCCUUUCGGGGGUACGACGAGCGGCGAACGGGUGAGUAACACGUGGGUGACCUGCCCUCAGCUCUGGGAUAAGCCUGGGAAACCGGGUCUAUAACCGGAUAUGACUCCAUGACGCAUGUUGUGGGGUGGAAAGCCUUGUGCGGCUGAGGAUGGGCCCGCGGCCUAUCAGCUUGUUGGUGGGGUGAUGGCCUACCAA